GGUUCCAUGUGAACGGCACUUGCACAUGGGUAAGCCGAUCCUAAGGGACGGGGUAACCCUGGCAGACAGCGCGAUCUCGCGUGUUGCCCGAAAGGGAAUCGGGUUAAGAUUUCCCGAGCCGGGACGUGGCGGUUGACGGCGACGUUAGGAAGUCCGGAGACGCCGGCGGGGGCCUCGGGAAGAGUUAUCUUUUCUGCUUAACGGCCUGCCAACCCUGGAAUCGGUUCAGCCGGAGGUAGGGUCCAGCGGUCGGAAGAGCACCUGUGGCAGAACCUCCUAAGUGUUUGGGCCCACCGACACCUGCCAUUGUCCUAAGGACCUCUGACGGUGAUGUCGGGAGUCCUCCCACUUUAGAAGUCCGAUGAGCAUUGCUGGACGCUCAUUCCACUGCUACCCGUGGCGUAC
rnacentral:rRNA from 1 species